GCGUCGGUGGUGUAAAGGCGUAGAGCAUUCCCGCCCGGUCAGAGGGAGGUGCGGGUUCGAAUCCCGCCUGGCGCU
rnacentral:tRNA from 1 species